rnacentral:rRNA from 1 species
AGAGUUUGAUCAUGGCUCAGGAUGAACGCUGGCGGCGUGCUUAACACAUGCAAGUCGAACGAGAGAAGAUCGGUGCUUGCACUGAUCCGAUCGAGUGGCGGACGGGUGAGUAACGCGUGGGUAACCUGCCUCAUACAGGGGAAUAACAGUUGGAAACGGCUGCUAAAACCGCAUAAGCGCACAGUAUCGCAUGAUACAGUGUGAAAAACUCCGGUGGUAUGAGAUGGACCCGCGUCUGAUUAGCUAGUUGGUGAGGUAACGGCCACCAAGGCAACGAUCAGUAGCCGGCCUGAGAGGGUGAACGGCCACAUUGGGACUGGAGACACGGCCCCAAACUCCUACGGGAGGCA